rnacentral:rRNA from 1 species
AGUGAACGCUGGCGGCAUGCCUAAUACAUGCAAGUCGAGCGGACGCACAGGAAGAGCUCGCUCCUGCUGUUGGCGAGUGACGGACGGGUGAGACAUGCAUAAGCUUCCUAUAUGUCUUGGGUAACUUCGUAGGACAACAGAUACUACUACCUCAUAUUUUCUACGGCAUAAUUCAAAAGAGCUUCAGACUCUGGCUGUCACUUAUAGAUGAAUCCGGGCUGCAUUAGCUAGUUGGUAAGGUAACGGCUCACCAAGGCAACGAUGCGUAGCCGACCUGAGAGGAUGAUCAGCCACACUGGAACUGAGACACGGUCCAGACUCCUACGGGAGGCAGCAGUAGGGAAUCUUCGACAAUGGGCGAAAGCCUGACCGAGCAAUGCCGCGUGAGUGAUGAAGGUCUUCGGAUCGUAAAGCCCUGUUAUUAGGGAAGAACAGAUGUGUAAUUAACCGUGCACAUCUUGACGGUACCUAAUCAGAAAGCACCGGCUAACUUCGUG